UCUCCCACAGCCAUAUCGGUAAUUUCAUAAAAAAUUGCAAAAGUAUAAAAAAGGAGAAAGGGUUCUUAGGAGAAAGGUGUGUACGGAUAGAGGUUUCUGAUUGCACUUCGGCUCUGUUGAACCCCUCUCAUCUCUCCUCUGCAAUCGACCUCAGGUCUCUCUCUCUCUCUCUCUCUCUCUCUGCUUUUAGGGUGUUUAUUAUACUCCUAUAUUAUAAUUUUUCGUUGUUAUCGUGAAUUUAGUAGUUCUUCAAUGUUUCUCGAGGAAUUCUAGUUAAAUUUGGCUAGCAUUUACUGAUUAUUAAGGAUUUUAUGUUCGGCUUGACCAAUUAAUCCACUAUAUAUAUAUAUAUAGCACAAAUUAUGAAUGUAGAAAGAUCUCUAGAGCUUAUGAUCGUUGGGCUGAUUAAAUCUUCAGUAUCAAUGUGAAUUUUAGACCUAACAUAGCUCUGCAUUUGCAGUAAAGUUUAGCAAUUAAUUCCCUCAGAAUCUUGAGUGUUGUUGUUGCCCAAGUCAUGUUUAAUAGUGUUUUGAAAUCAGCUCAAGAGAAUGAUGGGAAUGCUUCUUAUGGACCUGGUAUAGCCCCAUGAUGCAGCGAAGAGGGUAUGGGAUGAACGAAGCAACAAGAACAUUCCAUCAGUAAACAAUAAUAAUUUUUUUUUCUGUAAUUACAUUAAAAUCAAUCAAAGGUUGAAUAGACAAGGUUUUACAACCUUGUCGAAGUGUUUCAUGUACUGGGUACCAAUUAGAAAAGGAAAGUCAUAAUAACAAAAAUGGAUAAAUGGAUAAAAGGUCAAUUAUAAAAUCUAGAAAGAAAAAGAAGUAUUCCUUGCUAGACCUCAAUUCUUUUCAAACAUGACAGAUUCCCAAAACUGAAGGCCCGAAGGCCCCAAAAGAAUGAAUUCAGCUGAAAACCGCCUUAGGUCAUAACGAAGAAGUGGGUUUAGAUCAUUGUCCAAUUUUACAUCGAACAUGGGUCGUUUGGGUCAAACCAGGAAUGUUGAAAGAUCACUAAAAUUACUGGUUUGCUACUCGUCUAUGAAUUGCUCCAAUUAUGUUGAGGUAACUAGGUCUAUGCUACUCAAACAUGAGAAUAAUUUAGAAAGCUUACCAGGGAUGAUUAUAUUAUUGCCAUUUGGUUGAACCCUAAUACAUGUUUAUUGCAAUAAUUUCCAUUUUCCAUUUGAUUACAAAAAUCCUCUGAUGUUUAUUGCAAUAAUUGACCCUACUGAAUGGAAAAAGCUGAAUCGACUGAACAAAGAGAAAUAUUUAUUAAAAAAUGUACAAGGUGAGAAAAGAAAUGUUUGUCCUCUCGUCAUGUGGGUGAGAAAAGAAAAGAACUGUUUGUGUUUUCUCACGAUUAUGUUUGUAAGGCUAAAAGAGCAAAUAAUGUAAAAUAGGAAUAUUUGGUGAGACUUUUUUUCCUUUGUAAUUUGAUGGGAUAUAUAGAUAUGAUGGAAAAUAUAACUUUUUUUGUUUUUCAUAUUUCUCACCAAAUCUCUCUCUUUUUGUAAGAACUGAAGUGACAAAACAUCAGAGUUCUCUUUCUGACCUAAUUUUACUACCCAAUGACGGAGAGAAUUCUGUUUCUCGUCUUUCUUACUAAAUUGCUUAAACCAAACGGACUAUUAACUUUUUAUUGGCCCCCUGUAAGAAAAUUUCAAGAGCUUCCAUGGAAGCUUCAAGCAGGACAUCAAAUUUUUAUCCUCAAUGCACGCAAGGAAAUUACAAUAUAAUUAAACGCUUUGUUUGUAGCUAUAUUGUUAAUAAUUGAACAUUUUCUCGUGAAUAAUAAAAUUGAAAUUAAAUGGAUUUUUAUGUUUUCAAAAUAUGUGGUUUAUUGUUAUAAAUACAAAUGUAAGCUGUAGCCUAGGGAAUCUUAUCACGGCAACACUCGUCACUCGGUCCCUUGAUCUCCUAGUGAGAUCAGAGGUGCAUGGGUUCAUGCUAACUGAGUUAAUCCAGUUGGUUUCUGACAUUUAAUUGAAAAGUGGAAGGCAAAAUUUAGAAAAUAUUCAAAUGUCAAACUUUACCCUUGUACUUAUCAAACUUGUUAUUUAAUUAAAUGCUUAAAUUUCACUACUUAUAUGACUAUUUUCCGGAUUAAAAAACUCAAUAUGCAGUUUUCAGUGCAUAAUUUUCAGUUUUUAGUUUUAUCAAACAUGCUACAUAUGCUUUUCCAUAACUUUUCUGCAGAAGAUGAAAGUUAAUAAGUUUAUGUAACUGGCUGUGACACAAUCACCAUAAUCUAAUUGCUUUGUAUUUUAGUUCUAUCUUUGAAUAUCUUCUUCCCAUACAUGAACAACAGCUCAAAGGAGGUGUUUAGCAUGCUGUUCGUAUUUGGUGCAUAGUUUAUGUUCAAGAAGCAGCCUGGUGAAAAGAAUAAAGCGAUACAUUGUUAUCUAUAAAAUAGCUUUAGAAAGGAACUGCUAAUGUUUGGGAUCAUUUCUUUCUCUUCAUUUGUUUCGCCUCAUUUGUCUACAACUUCAAGGUUUGCUCAUAUCUUUCAAGUUUUAAACAUAGCUUUAUGAUUAAAUCUAUUUAUCCAUUUUCUGUUACCCUAAUUCAAUUUGUUGGUAGCAUUGCAGAGUCAUUGUUAAGAUGGCUGCAAUGGCAACCAGAAACCCCGGAAUGUCAAUCGAAUCUGUCACUGUAAAGCCCGCUUCUCCCC
rnacentral:lncRNA from 1 species